ensembl:lncRNA
AGUAGUCAAAUGUCUCAGAAGGAGGUGAAUGGAGCAGAUUGAGAGGGAGAAUGUGAAGAAACAGCAGGUGGCGCUAGUGCACUGUUUUAGUUUGGGAUCUGCUGUUAGAAGGAAGAAGAAGGAGAAAGCAGGUGUGUUUGUGCUUCACAAUCCUGUCCAGUUGGUGGCGCUGAUGCAUGAGAUCUGUUGUUAACUGGACUUUGAUUUUCUCCAAGAUGAAGUCGUGUCAGGUGACAAACAUCAAUCGUGAAGAUCGCACAGGUGUUUAACAGCGAUCACAAACCGGAAGUGUGUGAAAGACUUCUGGAUUCUGUUCCUGCAGCACAAGAUCGUCUGAAGUACUGCAGGUAAGUCUGAAUACUUUCACCAUUACACUUAUUUAGGAGAAUGAUGAACGCGUUUCAGAGCUGGAUGAAGCGGGAUUUGUUCAGUUAUAACUUAUACCUGUCACCGAAGUAACAAACCACAGAGAAACAGAGAGAUAUUAAUAAAACAAACCGAUUAAAGACGUGUUAAAACGUGUUAAAUUUUUUACAAGUCUUUACAAAUGUAGCAGUCAGAAUAAUUCUAAACGUGCUAUUUUAUUUCUCCUUCUUCCAGUUUAAGUCGCGAAACCGAAAGUAUUCAAAUCAAACCUGUUCUUCCGGGUAGAGAGACGAUAAACACGAGCAAAAUUAAUCUUUUUUUUUUUUCUUAAUGCUCCGAUAGUAAUGUGUAUGUAAAUAAAGAAGUGUGUUGUGAGUGAUCUGAAGAGAUUAUUACAUGGCAGUAUAUGUGUAGCAUAUUUUAUUUGUAUAUUGAUCGCUUGAUAACUCAAAGAUUCAGCACUAGUUAUUUUCUUCAUCAUGUCUUCCUCUGAACUCUCAUGAUCUUGAUCUCAUUGUCAUGUCCAGGUCAUGAUGAGCAUCUGAUCGUCUUCAGAGACACAAAGAUCUCAGUGUUGAGCUGUUCAUCUGCAGUCUGUCAGAGAAGAGAGGAAAGAUGAGUCUCUCACACAAACAGAGUGUAAGAUCAGGAUCACAUGUGUCUGUGAAGAGUGACCAGUCAAAGGAUGUCAUGCCAAACUUCAGUGAAGAAACAACACGAACCAAACGGCUUCAGUGUGAAACAUUAGAUCCAGAUUUACAGUCUCACAGAAAACACAAGAAUUUUACAGACAGUCUCCUGCAGAUCUUCCAGGUAAUAACAGACAUUUUCAAGAAUAUUUAAUUGUUAUAAUAAACAUAUGUAAUAGAAUAAGAGUGACAACUUUUAUUUCUCAUUUUUUUCUUAAGAACCCAUAAAAUAAGAAUUAGAACCAAUUUUUAUUUGUAUUUACAGCAAAUUAAUGUUUGUCUUACCUUGAUUUUUGAUGAAUAUUUUUAUUUGAAUAAAUAAGUUUGACCAAUUAUAGAUGAUUUUUUUUUUCUGUCAUUCAUUUUUGUCUGUCUUUGUAGGAUCUUGAGAGCAAAAUAAUCAAAUUUCUAAAGAAAGUUUAAGAAAAUAUUACAAAAAGAGGACUUGCAAUACUUUGUGAAGGACUUUAUUGAGAACAGAUGCAGUAUGAAAGAAGCAGCUCUUGAUCUCACGCUCUACUUCCUGAGAGAGAUGAAGCAAGAUGAAGCUGCUGAUACUCUAGAAGGUAAGAGACUCGUAAUCAUCUGUCAGAUUGUCACUUAUAAAUGUAGAGAGAAAAUAUGAUUAAACAAUAUCUGUGUUUUUGUUUCUGUUUCUAUGUAGCAGUGAUGCGCGGGUCAAUGUAUUAAUAACCCGCACCCGACCGACAUUUUCAACUAACCCGACCGCAACUCGGACCGCAAAAAAAGGAAAAGAAAAUAUUGUGCCCGACCCGCUUCCUGACCCGCAUUUUUUACAUUUAGUAAAUGCUCAUCAUAUCGUCAUUGGGCCAUAGACACAGGAACUAGGCAAAAAAAAAAAAAAAACAAACUCACAAAAAAUCCUUAAUAUAUUCACAUUUCGUCAAGAAUUAUAAAAAAAAAAAAAUCGUCAAUAAGCUCAUAAUUUGUUCUAAAAUAGUCUAGUCUGGCUAUGUCUACUUUGAUGUUUCUGUUCCGCAGAUAGUGAGGCUCUGGUUUGUUCCGAUCAGAGCUUGUGAGCGGAGAGUGCAUUUCUCCAUAUAUUACGCUCUGCUCGCUCAUUCCGUGGGGUCUCGCUCAACCCAGAAUGGCCUGCUGGUUCCAAAAUAUGCAAGGAGACAUUUAAUUGUUUAGUAAUAAACUGGUGUUUUCUGUGUUGCUGCAAAGAUGAA